rnacentral:rRNA from 1 species
GAUGAACGCUGGCGGCGUGCCUAAUACAUGCAAGUCGAGCGAACAGACGAGGAGCUUGCUCCUUUGACGUUAGCGGCGGACGGGUGAGUAACACGUAGGUAACCUACCUAUAAGACUGGGAUAACUUCGGGAAACCGGAGCUAAUACCGGAUAAUAUUUUGAACCGCAUGGUUCGAUAGUGAAAGAUGGCUUUGCUAUCACUUAUAGAUGGAUCUGCGCCGCAUUAGCUAGUUGGUAAGGUAACGGCUUACCAAGGCAACGAUGCGUAGCCGACCUGAGAGGGUGAUCGGCCACACUGGAACUGAGACACGGUCCAGACUCCUACGGGAGGCAGCAGUAGGGAAUCUUCCGCAAUGGGCGAAAGCCUGACGGAGCAACGCCGCGUGAGUGAUGAAGGUCUUCGGAUCGUAAAACUCUGUUAUUAGGGAAGAACAAAUGUGUAAGUAACUGUGCACGUCUUGACGGUACCUAAUCAGAAAGCCACGGCUAACUACGUG